rnacentral:rRNA from 1 species
UUCGGGUGUGAACUAGCGGCGGACGGGUGAGUAACACGUGGGCAACCUGCCUUACAGAGGGGGAUAGCCUUCCGAAAGGAAGAUUAAUACCGCAUAUUAUGAGUUUUCUGCAUGGGGAAUUCAUGAAAGGAGAAAUCCGCUGUAAGAUGGGCCCGCGGCGCAUUAGCUAGUCGGUGAGGUAACGGCUCACCAAGGCGACGAUGCGUAGCCGACCUGAGAGGGUGAUCGGCCACAUUGGGACUGAGACACGGCCCAGACUCCUACGGGAGGCAGCAGUGGGGAAUAUUGCACAAUGGGGGAAACCCUGAUGCAGCAACGCCGCGUGAGUGAUGACGGCCUUCGGGUUGUAAAGCUCUGUCUUCAGGGACGAUAAUGACGGUACCUGAGGAGGAAGCCACGGCUAACUACGUGCCAGCAGCCGCGGUAAUACGUAGGUGGCGAGCGUUAUCCGGAUUUACUGGGCGUAAAGGAUGCGUAGGUGGAAUUUUAAGUGGGAUGUGAAAUACCCGGGCUCAACCUGGGAACUGCAUUCCAAACUGGAAUUCUAGAGUGCAGGAGAGGAAAGCGGAAUUCCUAGUGUAGCGGUGAAAUGCGUAGAGAUUAGGAAGAACACNCAGUGGCGAAGGCGGCUUUCUGGACUNGUAACUGACACUGAGGC